UCUGAGACUCUUCAAUUUGUUAUUUUUUGUAUUUAGAUUUAGUGCAAUUCCGUUAUCUGUGAUGGCAACAACGAAGUGAUUCACGAACAAUAAUUGUCAGUCUGAACACAGGUUUACAUUGGGAAAAAAAGUGUACCAGUUUUAUAUGACGCGAAGUGUACACUUCGCGUCAAAAAAAACUGGUACAAGGCCCUGAUUCUAAAUCAAAUUUCGACACUAAACAAGUCGCUUUCAAUAUGGCGAUGGCGACUGUCGAAAUUAUUUGACACGGAGAUGAAUGAAUGGCCAAAAGCGAGGUUAGGUUUAGUUUAGAUGUGUUUUGUUUAUUUCUUGCAAGGAAAACUAAAUCAAAAGGUAUUAUAAUAUUGGGAUAAACCGUAAUCGUACCCCCUCCUAACUGCCAAAGUGUCAUGGCCGCCGUCGGGACCUAUUGUGCUGACAUUUACAAUGUUUACAUAGAGAAAAGUUUGUUUUUUUCUGCUUAUAAUGCCGUUUUCUAAAGAUAGUAGUGAACAAAAUCGAUUUGCUAACAAUAUUUAAUAUAUUUUAAAUGUGCUAAAAUUGGAUUCAACAGCAAAAGUCGCAUAAAUAACAUAUAAAUAACGAAUUUGUUUACCUAUUACAAAUGGGGUUAUGUGGUUGUAACUGUUUAUUUUGGGAAUAAAAUGAAAAUGAUCAAUUAAACGACUGGAAAACUAUAGUGAAGUGAAGAACAUCUUGAAGUUCCAAUGAUGUUUCAAGAUGAGAUAAAUCGAAAUAAUGGUUGUAUGUUAGAAGGACAGAGAAUACGAAGAAAUGUUAUUGCUGCAUACUUAGUGUAGUGAAAUACAAAGUUCAAACAUUAUAAUAUAUUUUUUUAUUUCAAACAUUUCAUAUGAUUAUGAAAGAACAUCUUCCUCUUUAAAACAAUGAAGAAGUGAAAAACAUAAUAAAGUUCCAACGAAAAUGAUUCCAGAUGAGGAAAAUCGAAAUAAUGGUUGUAUGUUACGUGUAUAGAGAAUACGAAGAAAUGUUAUUGCUGCAAACUUAGUGUAGUGAAUUAAAAACUUAUUGUCAAAUACAAAUCAAUUUAUUUCAUACUUUUAUAAUAUAUAGUGGUACAAUUUUAUAUGUGUUCAAAUAAAAAUAUUAAUAAAUAAAAUGCAAUAAACACAAAUCAUGUAUAUCUUACAAUGAAUUACAAAAUCAAAAAUUAAUUACAAAAAUAUCAAAAUAAAUCUAAAAUAUUAAAAAGUAACCCAUAAUUUUUAUAGUACCUUCAUACUUUGGUUGGUACUCUAAUAAUUUGGAAAUCCAUUAAAGUUUGUAGAUGGAAAUUGCAGGUAUCUAAAAAAUAUAUAAAGUAACUCAACAAUCUCUUUUCAAUUAGGGUUGCAGUUGAUAAAGAUGAAUGACCCUUGCUCGGGAAAUCAAAUGUAUCUAAAAAAAAAUUAAGUAACAGCUUUCUAACAAAACAAUCUUAAGGCUGUAGGACACUAUGCAUUUUCUUGUAUCAUUUCUAAUAUCGUUUCUGAUAUCGUUUCUUGUAUACAUUUUCUUGUAUCAUUUCUUGUAUGUACAUUUGUGCCCUGUAUGACACUAUGCAAGUUCUUGUAUCGAAAACUGUAUGAAAUUUGGCAUGUGAUUGGUCGAAAUUUUGUUUGUCACCCUGUCACGUUACAUUGGUAUGGUACUUAUGGUAGUACUGUGUCUACAGCUGAUUUUAAGGAUUUUAUAAAAUUUAUAAACUUUUAAAAACAAAUAUUUUAAUGUUAUAAUAACUAGAAUUUUUACGUUGACUGUUGAUUAUUUGUGUUUUUUAUUUUGUUUUGAUAUUUGUGCUAAAAUAUUUGCAUUAUAAUUAUCUUCAGUUUGAUCCAAAUUGGAACUAUUGUAUUUUCCUCUAUUAAAAAAUUAUGCAAUAUGAAACCCAAAGUUAUUCUAAAUAUAUGGUUAUUAGUAGAACAGUAGUCCAUACCAAACGGUAUAUUAAGUAUCAAUAAAAUAUUUAUAAAUAAUACCUACAAAACACAAAUAAAUUCAUCAAGACAUAAAUCAUAUGAUCUCAUUUUCAGCCGCCAUUAUGACAUUUAGAAGUUUUACCAGCAGGUUUUACGUUUUUGCUCUUUGCGCAGAAAUUGUCGCAGUUAUUGUACAAGAAUCUGUGCCUGACACAAAUUCUUGUAUCGUUUCUGAUAUCGUUUCUUGUAUCUGUGUAUGACACUAUACAUUUUUUUGACAUAUCAGAAACGAUAUUAGAAAUGAUACAAGAAAAUGCAUAGUGUCAUACAGCCUUUAGCACUAAACGGAAACAAAGAUACUGGUAAGUAUUAAAACAUUUUUUGAAAAAUCUUUCUGAAAGUGAAAAUAAAGACUACUCUCUAUGGGAACAACUAAAACUGGGUAUGCUUUACAAAAAAAUGUAUCCAGAACAAACUUCUUCUCUAUAAGGCAAUACUACUACAAGUUUGGAUGUACAGGAUUUAAUUCUGGGGAACUGCCAGUAACACAAAUAUGCAAAGACUACAAAGAUUCCAAUCCAAAGUCUUUCAUGAUGUCCGAUUUUUUUAGUACCACUACCAAAUAUCACGCUAAACUUAAAAUUCUUACAAUGAAGAUAGCUAAAGCUUGAGUACACAUAGAUAGAUCCAACCAAAUAAAUAAAAACAAUUAAUGUAUGUAAAAUGUAUGUUAGUCUUCUUCCACUUGCAGAAGAUAUUUUCAGUUGUUUGUGCCACUGUGAACUUAAGAUCUCUAAUAUUAACCGAUGAUAAAUUUAUGAAAACUGAUUUUAAAUAUUAAAAACUUUCAGAGAUAUUUCAAUUUUCGAAACAUCUUAUAAGAGUGAAAAAUAUUCAGAGACACCUUACAGCCAUAAACCAGUAAAACUAAAAUAUUUAAUGUUUUUGUAUAAAUUAAUAUUAAUAUUUAUGAACUUUUUAAAUAUAUCUUUAAAAAUUUUAUGAUAAAAUGUUUUUGAGUAAAGGCAAGAUUUUUUUUGUAUGGUAAUAGAAAAGAUUAAUAUUUGAAAUCAUAUACAGCAUCACAUUUUAUAAAUUAUAAUCUUUUUAUUAUAAAAAUAGUAAUACAGUGUGUCUACGGAUGGGGUGCCCAAGAGGAAAAACUUUUUUAUUUUCAAUUUUAGCGAAAAAUGUCAUUCUUGAUAAAAAGUUUUGCUUGUUCUAAAACCCCAUAAAAUGAACUAAAAUUCAAGUUUUUCAAAUCCUGCUUAUUUUUAUAGCCAAUUUUAUGUAAAUCCCUAUAAAUUUUUGCACUAAGUUCGAAAUUGUAACAAUAAUAACUUGGGAGAACAACCCUUUCACUUCUCUGGAUUACGAAGCCAGACUUUGUCGUUCUCCUUGAAUCAUCCAAUUAUUUAUUAAUUAAAUAAUUAUUAAUACAACAAUUUUAAUAAUGAAAUUUAUCACAAGAUAAAUUCUUUAUUGAUAGCUUAACAUUGUCAAAAAAAUUGACCAUUCGCAAAUUAUUUAUCGAAAUUGAUAGUUACUAAGCUACAUUGUGGCUUGGCAACACUAGAUUAUUGUUAAGAUUUCAAACUUAGUGCAAAAAUUUACAUAAAAUAGGGAUUUGCAUAAAAUUGGCUACAAAAUUAAGCAGGAUUUAAAAAACUUGAAUUUUAUUUCGUUUUAUGGGGUUUUAGAACAAGCAAAACUUUUUAUCAAUAAUGACAUUUUUCGCUAAAAUUGAAAAUAAAAAAGUUUUUCCUCUUGGGCACCCCAACCGUGGACACACUGUAUAUAAUUAUAAUACUAAAAUCACAAUAAAGACGCACUAGAAAGAAACAAACACAAGACAUGAUGAAUGUUAUGAGGAGCACUCACAAAUCAUGAUUUACAAAGUUUAUACAUUGUAAAUCAUGAUUCGGGAGUGCUAUUUGUAUCAUUCAACAUGUCUUGGGUUGUUUAUUUCUGGUGCAUCUUUAUUGUCAGUUUAGUAUAAGAGAAUUACAAGUUUUAUGUUAAAUCUUCUGAAUCAAAUUUUUGUUAGGUAUCAUGUCACUCUUACUAAUUUUAUCCCAUAAACACUUUGAAAUAAUACAUUUUUUAGUUCCAUGACUGUUAUCAAUUGUUGGAUAUCAUAUAUUGGCUACCAUAUUCGCUAUUGUGGCUUUAUUGACAGCAGCUCUAACUAAUGAUGAUGGAGUCGAUUUUCCAUACUAUGGUCUUAGAUUGUUCAGCUAUGAUUGUGAGAUUCUACCAGAACCACAUUUACCUUGGAUCUUUCUCUGAAUUAUCAAAUGCAAAAGUUUAUAUUUUUUAGGGUGUUUCAUACCUAAGUAUUAUUGACCUAAGUAUUCCAGCUUGUGUCUCUUUAGUCAAAUGGAAAUUAUUAUAUGAAACUCUACAAGAACACAUUCAUAUUAUAAUCAAUUAAGUAUAUUAAUUUUAAUCACAAAUGUUUAUUGGUUGAGAGAGUGACUUUUUUACUUAUGCUCAAUCAAAUAUUUUUACUAUUUUCUGUUAGUUUUUUAAUAGUUAUUUAUGAUAUAAAUGUUAAAAGUACACAUUUAAGGCACGCAUGUGAAAGUCUGCAAUUCACAUGAGUGCCUUAAAAAUGUACUUUUUAACACACAUAUCAUACAAUAUUUUUUCUGCAAACGUAAUUACAGAAUAAUAUCUACAAAAACUUUUUUCUACAACCGUGUUAAAAAUUCAAUUUUUAGCACUCCAUAAGAGCAUUAAAAAUGCUACUUUAAGGUACAAGUGCUUUAAAAUUUUUAUGGCACUGCAAUUCGUAUUGACCGUAUAGACAAUUUUGAUGUAAUGUCACAAAAAUAUAAAAAUGGAAUGUCAGUCAAGUUCAAGUAAAAGUUUUUGUAGAUAUUGUCCUGUAAUUACGUUUGUAGAAAAAAUAUUGUAUGAUAUGCGUGUUAAAAAGUACAUUUUUAAGGCAAACUUUCACAUGCGUGCCUUAAACGUGUACUUUUAACACUUAUAUCAUAAAUAACUACCUAUUACUUGAACUGACAUUCCAUUUUUAUAUUUUUUUGACAUUACAUCAAAAUUGCCUAUACAGUCUAUAUACAGUAGCGUUUUUAACGCUUGUAUAGAGUGCUGAAAGUUGCAUUUUAACACGGUUGUAGAAAAAAUAAAUUUUAUGUAUAUUUUAUCUAAAAAAGUAUUUAAGCACUUAAAUAUUUUUUCAAAAAUAGAAUAUUUUUAUGAACUUCUUUAAUUCUUUUUUAUUUUAACUUUAAUGCAAUCUGUUAUCAUUAUAACAAUAUGACAGAUAUAAAAAAUGACACAGUGGGAACUACACUCAGGGGUGAGAACUCUUUACAUAUUUAUAUUAAUUUAGUCUACAUUUACCAUAUUUCUGACUUUUUUACAAAUUAGUAACUACUAUCUACUUCCCAGUGGUGUAGAGAUCUGUAACUUUUCUUAACCCUCUAGUGCCCUAGUUUGCCUCAAGGCGGACCAUAAUAAAAAUUUCCAUCCUUACUAUUUAAGUAUUUUAUAGCUGCAAUACCGAAACCAGCCUCUGGACUAGAUCAGAUAAGCAUCCAGCUUUUAAAAGUUUGGGUGAUCAGACAGAUUUUUACCCUAUAAUUUUCAGUUUAGCAUGAUAUUUGGUAGUGGUACUAAAAACAUCGGACAUCAUAAAAGACUUCGGAUUAGAAUCUUAAUAGUUUUUGCAUAUUUGUAUUACUGGCAGUUCCCCAGAUUUAAAUCCUGUACAUCCAGAUUUGUCGUAGUAUUGCCUUAUAGAGAAGAAAUUUGUUCUGGAUACAUUUUUUUGUAAAGCAUGCCCAGUUUUAGUUGUUCCCAUAGAGAGUAGUCUUUAUUUUCACUUUCAGAAAGAUUUUUCAAAAAAUGUUUUAAUACUUACCAGUAUCUUUGUUUCCGUUUAGUGCUAAGAUUGUUUUGUUAGAAAGCUGUUACUUAAUUUUUUUUAUAUACAUUUGAUUUCCCGAGCAAGGGUCAUCUUUAUCAACUGCUACCCUAAUUAAAAAGAGAUUGUUGAGUUACUUUAUAUUAUUAUAUUUUUUAGAUACCUGCAAUUUCCAUCUACAAACUUUAAUGGAUCUCCAAAUUAUUAGAGUACCAACCAAAGUAUGUAGGUACUAUAAAAAUUAUAUGUAACUUUUUAAUAUUUUAGAUUUAUUUUGAUAUUUUUGUAAUUAAUUUUUGAUUUUGUAAUUCAUUGUAAGAUAUACAUGAUUUGUGUUUAUUGUAUUUUAUUUAUUAAUAUUUUUAUUUGAACACAUAUAAAAUUAUAUCACUAUAUAUUAUAAAAGUAUGAAAUAAAUUGAUUUGUAUUUGACAAUAA